UACAGAGGGUGCGAGCGUUGUCCGGAAUUACUGGGCGUAAAGGGCGCGUAGGCGGUCAGCACAAGUCAAUUGUGAAAUCUCCGAGCUUAACUCGGAAAGGUCAACUGAAACUGUGCGACUAGAGUGCGGAAGGGGCAACUGGAAUUCUUGGUGUAGCGGUGAAAUGCGUAGAUAUCAAGAGGAACACCUGCGGCGAAGGCGGGUUGCUGGGCCGAUACUGACGCUGAAGCGCGAAAGCCAGGGGAGCGAACGGG
rnacentral:rRNA from 1 species